ensembl:lncRNA
AGUGCUGCAGAGCUAGAGAACUUGUUCACCAGACCCAAAAGCUGUUUCCGUGAACUGCUGCCUCCUUGUCCCAUCAAGUCUCCAGCAGCUUAUUGGAAGUCCAUGAAUGGACAGAAGACAUCUCUAGCCACUAACCCAGAAAGAUCUUCAUCUUUCAAGACUACAGUUUCCACGUGAGAGGAAAAAGUCACCAGUUGGACCCGCAUCAUCACAGGAAACCCUGGCUUUAAAGAGUUCUCUUAGAUCAAUAGUGAUAUGAAUGCAGGCAGUGGGAACCUGACCCUGAGUCACAGAAACAUCCUGUUAUCUCCAGCAACUUGAAUAAAGAAAGCAAGCUGCCCUGGGUAUCCAACAACCCACUGAGAGUCCGCUUACUUGGCAGGCUGCCUUUUUAACUGGCUGUAUCCCCAGCAAGUUCCCUUCAGUUCUGAGAAUCAACCUCCUAUUCAGCCUCUGCCCUGUAGAAGAAAGAGGUCACCUCCGGACCUCAAACCUCCAAUAGACAAAGGAAAGGAGCUGGCAGACUCAAUAUGUUUGAGUUAAACCUAAACAAGUAAGCAGGCAAACUUAAAUGUUGUGUGGAAAGUGACCAAAUCUUUGUUGCCCAAGCCAAAAUGCCAUGAAACUUCUGCCAACUUCUUCCAGGGGAUAAUGAUCAUCAGUUGGCAUCUCCCACAGACUCCACAUAUUUUUACGGGAAGAAAGAAUCAGUGGGCUUCCCUGGUCCCUACAAGUUCCAUAGCAGUGAGCUCCUUUGGCUCUAGAUGGAAUACAACAAUCCCACAGCACAAAUGAGUCUCUUCAUCUGCACUCAGAUGUGAGAAUCAAGGCUGCCUAUCAUUAAACCAAAUCACCUGUUCACUAGGUAAUCUUCACAUUUUUUCUUCUGUUGUUUAUGCUCUGGCAGAAAUUAUGUUCAGAAAAUGCAGUACUGAAACAAUGUAAGAUGUCUUUAAGUACUUUCAAGAACAUUUUUCCUCCUACCAGUAGCAAGCUCCCCACUUCCCUGCUCUUCUAAAUAAUGUAAAGCACCAGACCCACUCUUCAAAUAACCAAACUCUUUUUUCCUUCCUGCAAAUUAUGCAUAUCCUGGUGCUUUAUUACUGAGGCUGACCUAAUUAUUGAGAAUGAAGAAAUAGUUGAUUGAGCUCAAAACUCAUUCUGUAGCUUGAUUUAAUGGGAAUUAUUUUAUAUAUGUUAAGUUUUCAUAACUGAAAAGGAACAACUUGGCUUGACUGGCUGUGACAGGGAGAGAAGUCACCUCAAUUAUUUGCAGCCCCCCACUGUUGGGUACAAAUUCUAUAUGCCAAUUAUAUAGGGAGAGCAAUGUACUCAAUUGCAGGUGGUGUGCACAAGCUUAUGCCAAUGAAAAUUGUCCUAUUAAAAGCUCAUUGAAAGCUGAAAGGGCCCAGCUGCCCUCAGAUCAUCAAGCAGUAUUUUGCAAAACAAAACCCCUGUGAAGCUGUUGACAUAACCAGCAUCCCUAUCCUCUCAACUGCCUAGCAUCAUCCAGUUUGGGGAGUACACGCUUAUGCUAAGCAUGCUCAAUGCAGCACAAAAUCCUGGCUUCUGUCUCAGAAAUCUUGAGUGGUUCCCAGUCCUCCUGCUGUUGUGCUGCAGCUCCCAAAUUGCCUUGAUCAAAGGAGCUGGCUGUGUUCUGUUUCUCAAUGAAAGAUAUGUGGUGCUGGAUCGAACUUUGACAGAGAUUGCUCCUGCUCUCCCUUUCUACUUAAGAGGAUAACAUUCAGGAUCACAGUACUGAAAUC